UGCACCUGUGGCAUAUAGAAGUUCUCAGGACAGGAGCUGAAUCAGAGCUACAGCCCCUGGCCUAGACCACAGCCACACAGCAACACCAAAUCCGAGUCUGCAACCUACACCAUAGCUCGUGGCAAUGCCAAUCCUUAAUUCACAGAGCAAGGUGAGGAAUCGAACCCUCAUCCUCAUGGAUACUAGUUGGGUUCAUUUCCGCUGAGCCACAACAGGAACUCCAGUCCUUCUCUGUCCUUGAAAUCCAGUGUGGCCUGGAAUUCCUGACACCAUCGCCUUCUUCCAGCUUCUCCUGGAUUGUCCUCUAAUUCUGCCCUUCAAUUUCCACACCUCCUUUUGAACUUGGUUUAUGACAGCCAGUUCUGCUGUUUUUUUUCCAUUUGUGUUCGCUUUAUUUUUGCUCCCAGUUCAAUGUCCAGAAGCAGGUUCCCCACUGCAAUCAAAUCGAAGAACAACAUACAACAUUGUACACUUCUAAGAUGCUUAAACUGCUUUUCAAUACUUUCCUUAAAGUAAUAAAAUUUUUUAACUUAUUGUUGACCCUGCCAGGAACAUUGAUAGAAAAGCUUAGAAGGCCACCAUAAAUCAGGCCCAAAUUAAGAGUUUGAAAGAGCUGGGGAGUUUUCUCCACAAACUUUCAUGUGACUACACUAUGCCCCUUGCAUUUUAUGGCAUAUCCAUUUUUAUAAGUCUGUUUAUGAGUACAAAGAGGCUUAGCCACUACCUCCCGUGGCAUGCCAGCUUAGACCAACUGCUAUUUUAACCACAUUCCCCUCUAGAAAGAGCACAGCCAACAGUUUCAAAUUCCCAAGGGAACCAAAAUGUUGAGAAAACUGAAUGACACAUCAUUUGGAAAUUCGUUAUUAUUUUUGCCACUAUCAACUUGGGGUGUUUUUUUUUUGUCCAGAGUGAUCUCUUAAGGCCCAAAGUCCAUAUUUCCACCCAGCACUCAAGACUGACCAGUCCCAGGAGCAGAAGACGGUCUUAGCAAAGAGCCAGUGGACACCAGGAACCAGCACACCCUAACACAAGGAAAGUCUCAGGGCCCAGCCAACAUUCUCCAUUAAGCAAAGAGCAUCACUUUGUCUUAAACAUAGACGAUGAAAUUGACGAGGGUCUGCCAUGUCUGGGCCAAAAACAGUCCAAGGAUUUGGCAACUGUAAGCAAACAAAGUCUGACCUACAGGUCCCUUUCGGAGGAGGGAAAAGAACUCAAUCUAAAUGAAAAGUUACACUCUCGAAUCAAGAGAAAUCAAGUGGUUACUUUCUGCCAACCUGUUUCUGACUGCUUUAGUCUGGGAUAUGUGCUUCCUUGAGCCAUCCCAGGGCUACCCAUUUCCUAGUCUGUCCAUUCAUUCAGGGCCACUCUUAACCCAGACUAGACUGCAUUUCCUAGAUGAGUCCAGAGCACCCCUGUUCACUUGAUAUUUGCCUCAGCCUAGCACUGCUUUUCCCUCCAACUUCAACACCACCCCACCCUGGUCAUCCAGCAAUGAUCCACUCCAGAGGCCCUGAUUUAGGUCAAGACUUGAUGACACCCAGGGGAAAAAAAAAAACCUUACAAACCCAUCCCCUGCAGAGGCUGCUUCUUUACAAUGUCAGGAACUGUUACAGCUCUGAGAUUUUACCAAGUUUUGCAGGCUGAUGAGCCAAUCUGUCAUGGUUCCUUGGAUAAUGGCAGGAGACACAAGCCUCCUAAGUCAAAGACCAAGGAUUUUAUUACUCAUGGCAUAGUCAGCACCUUGAGCUUCUGCUUAGGAAACACUAGAGUUCCACAGAACAUAGAAAAACUCUGGGCCACAAUCCAGGCUAGACGUGGGACAAGAACAUCUAGUUGGGAGGUAGUUUUGCAAAGGACCUUGCACUGUAUGCUGCUAUUUGGACUUUAUUAUGUAAGCAGUGGGAAAAUACCCUGUUGACGUUCUUUUUAUCUACUUAAUAUGAUUAGAUGUGGUUAUUUUAGAAACAUAUUAAAAGGUCUUAGGAACCUUCAAUUUUGUAAUAGAUUCCUCCAUAGAAGAAGAAAUCUAUAGAACAGAAUUACCUCUGUAAAUACCCAAGUUCAAAACUUAAUAGCAUUCACACUUUUUUCCUCUCUUUUUUCUUUUUAGGGCUGCACCAUGGCAUAUAGUUCUUAGGCUAGGAGUCAAAUUGAAGCUACAGCUGCUGGCCCAUGCCACAGCCACAGCCACAUGGGAUCUGAGCGUGUCUGCAACCUACACAACUCUUAGCAACGCUGGAUCCCUGACCCACUGAGGGAGUCCAGGGAUUGAACCUGCAUCCUCACGGAUACUAGUCAGAUUCCUUUCCACUGUGCCACAGUGGGAUUCAGCUUACAACGUUGUUUUUAUUUCUGCAGUACAGUAAAGUGAUUCUGUUAUACAUAUAUGUAUAUAUAUAUUCUUUUAUGGUGAUCUCAGAAUAUUGAAAUAUUGAAUAUAGAAUAUUGAAAUACUGAAUUUGAACAGAGGAGUGCAUGUAUCUUUUCAAAUAACAUUCACUUUUAAGAAAGGCUUCUGGUGGAGUUUCCAUCGUGGCACAGCAGAAACAAAUCCAACUAAGAACCAUGAGGUUGCGGGUUCAAUCCCUGUCCUUGCUCAGCAGGUUAAGGAUCUGGCAUUGUCGUGAGCUGUGGUGUAGGUCACAGAUGCGGCUUGGAUCUGGCAUUGCUGUGGCUGUGGUGUAGGCUGGCAGCUGUAGCUCCAAUUACACCCCUAGCCUGGGAACCUCCAUAUGCCAUGUGUGGAGCCCUUAGAAAAAAAAAAAAAAAAGGCUUCUGUAUGUUCAAGAAUUCCUAUUUAAUAGUUUAAUUUACUUUUUCUGUUCUGUGUUCAUUGUACAUCCUCUUCUCUGAAUUCCAAUUCUAGAACUCAAACUUGCAACAGAGAUCAACCGAGAUACCAGCAGCAGAUCCAUUCAUGGAUUGUACCAGUCUGAAGCAAAUCACUCUCCAAGUUUCUAUCGUUGAGGCUUUUCCAACAUUUGAUCAUAGUCAGGACUAUCUUGGAUACUACAAUCAAGUUUUCUCUGUCAUUCAAGGACUGUUGAAUGAGCACUAUCUGAUCCAGGGCAUUGUAAUAAGUGCUGAAGACAUAAAAGGAGGAUUUGGACAUACUCCCCUUGAGACUUGUGUACACUUUUGAGUAUUUUGCUUUACGAUCAAAAUCAACAAUUUCUUUCAAGCUAUGAUUGAUUUGCACAGCCAAUUAGGGCCGAGUAUAUAGACAACAACACAGGCCAACAGUCAGUCCAUAUUUAUUGAGCUUUUACUAUAUGCCAAACAUCAUGCUAGGUGCUGGGGAUGUAGCAAUGAGCAAGAGAGGCCUAGAUAUAUCUUUGAUGCAUGAUACAUUUGUCUGUAUUUUCAGCAAGGCAUGCAUAGAGGAGAAAAUCAAGACCAUAAAAGGAAGAGCCAGUGAUUUAAAGAGAAAAGGAGCAUGAAAAACUUUUAUGUAGGAAAGAAUAUGAUUUAAAGACAGGCUGAAAGUAUCCCCAAAGAAAACAAUACAUCGGAGUUUCCAUCGUGGCACAGCGGAAAGGAAUCUGACCAAGAACCAUGAGGUUGCAGGUUCGAUCUCUGGCCUCACUCAGUGGGUUAAGGAUCUGGCAUUGCCGUGAGCUGUGGUAUAGGUCACAGACGUGGCUUGGAUCUGGCAUGUCUAUGGCUGUGGCGUAGGCUGGUAGCUAUAGCUCUGAUUAGACCCCUAGCCCGGGAAUCUCCAUAUGCCACGGGUGUGGCCCUAAAAAGACAAAAGACAAAAAAAAAAAAAGAAAGAAGAAAAACAAUACAAGUAUCCCCUGCUUUUCAAAAUUUCCCUUUAUGUAUACUUAGCUUUUAUGAAAGAUUAACAUCAGUAGCUAUUUUUUGAUAACCAAAAGAGAUGGGAAGAGGAUUUUCACUUAGGUGAAAAAAGGCAAAAAGCAAAAGUAGCAUUCAAGGUUGGUUUUGCAGUGACCCAAUUAUAGAGGCAGCACACACCCUGAGCAAUGAGGGUGGCACCAUCAAGUUCCUCCCCUAGAAACUACCUUCAGCAUCUCAGCCUCAAGCCACCAGGGCUUUGAACUGUGUCUGUGAGCAUCAGUGCGUUAUCUUGAUUUUAUUUUGUGCUUUGUGUCCUAAGGUCAUCACUUUUUUGCUCUACUCCAUUUUGGCUUAGGAAGCUCUCCUUUCAAAAGUGCAAAGAAUCUAUGCAGGUUAACAGAUAAGUGACAUUUCCUCUCCAUUCACUAAAAAAAAAUAUGUUUCAUGUCUGCUGCAUGCCAAAUACUAUACUAGUGGAGACAAAAGAAUACAAUACAAGAAUUCCAUUGUUGCACAGAGAAAAUGAAUCUGACUAGUAUCCAUGUGGAUGCAGGUUCGAUCCCUGGCCUUGCACAGUGGGUUAAGGAUCCGGCCUUGCUGUGAGCUGCAAUGUAGGUCACAGACGUGGCUUGGAUCUUGCAUUCCUAUGGCUGUGGUGUAGGCCAGCAGCUACAACUCUGAUUCGACCCCUAGCUUGGGAACCUCCAUACGCCUCAGGUGCAGCCCUAAAAAGCAAAAAAAAAAAAAAAA
rnacentral:lncRNA from 1 species